GACGAACGCUGGCGGCGUGCUUAACACAUGCAAGUCGAGCGGAAAGGCCUGCUUUCCCUUGUGGAUUGCGGGUACUCGAGUGGCGAACGGGUGAGUAACACGUGAGUGAUCUGCCCCCAACUUGGGUAUAAGCCUGGGAAACUGGGUCUAAUUCCCGAUAGGACUGCAGGGUGGUGCCUGUGGUGGAAAACGAUUUUCUAGUGGUUGGGGAUGAGCUCGCGGCCUAUCAGCUUGUUGGUGGGGUAAUGGCCUACCAAGGCGGCGACGGGUAGCCGGCCUGAGAGGGUGGACGGCCACAUUGGGACUGAGAUACGGCCCAGACGCCUACGGGAGGCAGCAGUGGGGAAUAUUGCACAAUGGGCGGAAGCCUGAUGCAGCGACGCCGCGUGGGGGAUGACGGCCUUCGGGUUGUAAACUCCUUUCGACCGCGAGGAAGCCACCUGGUUGGAAGGGUGGUGACGGUAGUGGUAGAAGAAGCACCGGCGAACUACGU
rnacentral:rRNA from 1 species